AUGUUUAUGGUACUUGUUUUUUGGAUGUCCCGUCUUGGACUCAUGCGAGGCUUGAUUUUAUGGAUGAGCCGCCGCCUCUUGAAACGUUUAACCAUCUUCUUUGGAGCAUCCACCAUGUUACGGACCUCACAUUAUCAGAUGUGGGCAUUCAGUUACUUCACGAGAUGAAGGAGAAAGAUAUGUUUGUGCAGUUUUCGAAUGUUAAGUUUCUAAAAGUCACAACUUCUAAAGUCAAUAAAAUUCUAUGCUACCUCCAAACUUUGCAGUUUUGCUGCUGCAUGAGUAUAUAAUUCUAUGCUACCUCCAACUUUCCAACUUUUAGUUAUUUUACUGAGUAUAUAAUUAUUAUUAUUAUUGUUAUUAUUUAUCGUAUAUAAAUGUUUGUUUAUAUCUUCAUAAACAGGCUACAGCGAAGGGAGUCCCAGUGUCGAGUGUGAUCUAAUGACUCUUUUCGAGCUUUACACGUGAAGAAGGAUGUGACUUACACUGAUAAGAAGUCUGAAAGAAUCGAUGUGGAGAUACAAGAAAUUGCUGCAGAGAUGGGCCAAUCUAAUCCUGAUACGCCCGUGGAUAUGAACAAGAUUUAUCUAGAUGUCUUGGGAGGCGGUUUAGAUAAAAAGCAAAGAUUGUUCGGCACAGGUAGUCUCGCAUCAACCUUGAAGACCGAUAUAUCGGGAGAGAGUAGUACUUCAGCUAUGUCCGACAUCGACAAAGAGCAGUAUGCUACUCGCCUAGGAGAUGUAGAGGAGCAACUUCAAGCGGAGCGAGAAAGGACAUCUCGAUUAGAAGAACAUGUUAAAGUUGCAAUGGAGAUUAUCAAGCAGUUGCAAGGGCAAUCAAGCACCGCCACUAGUCAUCCAAAUCCACCAUCACAUGUUCCAUGAUCAUAUAUGUGUUUUGAUUUCGAUAUCGACUAUCUCUAGGUGCUUGGUUUUGAAAUACUUGUUAGAUAUGUGAUUUCUAGACUAUUUGGGUUUGUAACUACUAUUUCUAGGUGUUUGGUUUUGAGAUACUUAUAUGUGAUUUCUAAACUAUCUUGGUUUA